CCCCACCAUAUAUGGAGCAUUGUACCCUUUUUGUUGCUGCACCUCCAGCAGAUCUCAGAUGAGUCAGGAUAAAUCUUGUGAAGUUCUUGUGGGAAAAACAUGUGGUCUGCCCAUCAAAGCAUUCACCAGUUUAGCCCAUUUUUCUGGACCCAGAGUCUUCCCACUUUCCUUUUCUCAUUGUGUCAUGAACAGGAGAGAUUGGGCUUGUGAGUGGUUAGAUACA